UACGGCGGGUGCAAGCGUUAUCCGGAUUUACUGGGGUUAAAGGGUGUGUAGGCGGACUAUUAAGUCAGCGGUGAAAUCUCCGGGCUCAACCCGGAAACUGCCAUUGAUACUAUUAGUCUUGAAUGUUGUUGAGGUGGGCGGAACGGGUCAUGUAGCGGUGAAAUGCAUAGAUAUGACCCGGAACACCGAUUGCGAAGGCAGCCCACUAAGCAACGAUUGACGCUGAGGCACGAAAGCGUGGGGAUCAAACAGG
rnacentral:rRNA from 1 species